CAGGCAUGAGCCACCAUACCCGGCCACCUAAUAUACUUUCUAAGUACACUAUCAAUCUUUUGGCUUCAACAAUUAUCACACUUGUAAUUCUACAUUUAUUUGUGAAAACAUUUACUUAAUGUCUUCCUAUUCCACCUUACUGUGAUCCCUCCACUCUAAUCCUUCACCCUGUUCAUUUUGUAUCCUCUCCAUAGCAUUCGGCACUUUGCUUAGCACAGAAUAUAUGCUCAAUAAAUGUUUCUGAAAUUGAACUGACUAUAAUGACUUAUUUCAAAAUGUGUUAUAAGUAAUAUUACAUGAUAUGCAAUUAAGACUAAACCUGCAUUUGCAGUUUAUUUGGUAAUAAGUGAGAUAAUAACUUCACCAGGUUUUAAAUAAAGAUAACAAAAGGGGAACAAGUAAAUGGCUUUCAGUAUAGGUUUCCAUUUGGUUUUUAGGGCCACCCUCAAGGAUAAGAUCUGAGGCCUUUGAAGCAAUAGUAGACUGGAUAAAGAAAAUGUGGCACAUAUACACCUUGGAAUAUGAUCCAGCCCAUAAAAAGAACAAGAUCAUGUCCUUUGGAGCAACAUGGAUGGAGCUGGAGGGCAUUAUCCUUAGCAAACUAACACAGGAAGAGAAAGCCAAAUACAUGUUCUCACUUAUAAAUGGGAACUACAUGAUGAGAACACACGGACACAUAGAGUGGAACAACAUACACUGGGGCCUACCAGAGGUUGUAGGGUGGGAGGAGGGAGAAGAUCAGGAAAAAUAACUGAUGAGUACUAGGCUUAACACCUGAGUGAUGAAAUAACUGAUACAACAAACCUCCAUGACACAAGUUUUCCUAUGCAACAAACCUGCACUUUUAUCCCUGAACUUAAAAGCUAAAAAAAAAAAAAAAAAAAAAAAAAAAAAAAAAAAAAAAAAAAAAAUCAACACAUAGCUGUUUUCUAUAAUGUUUUUGUUUAAAGAUAAUGCAUUUAAUAAAUAUUGUUAAUUCUUUAAGAAUUCAUGGUCAGUGACACUAUGAUUCAUGCCUGAACGAAGCCUUUCUCAUUAAGACACAUCACAGGCUUCUUGUUCUUAGGAACACUAGACAGCAGUUUAAAUAGUAAAAUCACCAACAAAAAGUAUAUAAAUGAAAAAAAAACACUAAAUAGAACGUAAAAAGAUAAUUGUUUAUAACAUAAGAGCUCAAACAGGAAGGCAGGACAUCUCCUCAUUCAACCUCAGGAACACAUGUAGCAGGCAACUUAAAUUUUUUGCCUUUCUGCACAUUUCUAUAAACAGCCAUGAAAUCACUGUGAGUAUUGAUUUGAAAGUUACAAAUAAGUUUUUGUGAGUUGGCAGAUUUGCAAAUACGUUCCCCUUGAAUAAUGAUCAACUAUACAAGUGAAACUAUUAAGUGCAGAAAUUCCAUUGAAAUUAAUGCAGUAAGAGAUGUUUCUUGGUGGAAUAGUGAAAGAUGAAAUCCCAAAAUGGCCAUAUUCCUCUAAUUUCUCUGUUAAUAAUGCAUAGAAUGCUUUCUCCAAUAAGAAUAUUUUAGAAAAUUAAAUCUUACAUUUAAAAUUAUUGUACAAAGAUCAUUAUUUUGGUAAGAUAAAAUUGCUAACCCUGUAAAGGUGUCUUUAUGAAGGUAAAUAAAUUGACCAAUACUUUUGGUCAAUAAAAAAUUAGGCUUUAUUGUUACCAUUGUGAAUCAAGAAUAGAAAAUGUAUAUUAUAUGUUAUUAAUAUUACUAGUAGUGAAAUGAAGUAAUAGAAGUUGGUAAUCAUAAAGAUGAUAUCUAUAUAGUAAUAGCUACUAUUUAUUCAGAAUUUAUAAUCUUUGUGGUACAUACUAUCAUUAUCCCCAUUUUAUAUGAGAUAAUUGAGUCACAGAGAUUUAAAAAACUUGCCCACAAUUUCACAGUCUGACUGGCAUUGUUGCAUGUAGUAUAUAAGUUGACUAUGAUGACCACAUUUCUAAGAAUUUACUACCCUAUAUAUCUCCAGUUAGGUUGUACCACAAGAGACAUUCUUGUGUGAAAGCUGGAGGGCAAAAAUAAAUUAGCAGUCGAUUUUUCCAAUUCACACAUUGCCCCUUAUCUUCUACGUUUUCAGCAACUUCACUUUCCACUAGAUGUUUCUUUGACUUCUUGAGUCCCAUGCGCGGCAUGUGUUUGACUCCUGUAGACACCCAUACUACCAAGGUUACAGGCAGUAAAAAUGGGUUUGUAUCUUAACACUCCAAUAUUAACUAAUAAGUAAGAAAGCCUGAUUUGAAUUCAGAUAGUUUCCCUUCAGACUUAGCAUUCAUAAUCCAUACUGCUGUGGAAUAGUCACUUGCCUUAGUUGAGCACAAAGCUUCUCAAAAUAAAAACUGCAUUUCCUGGAGGGUUCCUUUGUAUCCACUUGAGGUCCCAUACCUCACUUCUAAACAAAACCUUACUUUAAGAGAUAGCUGGCAAAUGACCUUUGUGCCCUUUAAUUUUAUCCUUCCUUUGUUCUUACAUCCAAAACAUGUAAAUUACCUUUUAGGAGCAUAAGGAUUAGGGUCAUAUCCUUGUAAUAGAAAAGGGGUAAGCAGGAAGGAAGCUGGAACCCAGAUUAUAUGAGGUAGAGCACCAUAGCAGCUCUGAAUCACAUAUCUUCAAAUUUUUAUAAAAAUGAGAAACAGGAUUCUAUCUUGCUAAACUGCUAUUUUGCGACUUUGUUACCUGCAGUUGAUCCUAUCAUUGGACGCAGUGCUCUCUAAGCCUUGUGUCCUCUCUCUGUGAUGGGAAUCUUCAUAAUACCAACUGUAUUGGGCUGGAUUGUGAGGAUUCGAGUAGAAAAUGCAUGUAAAGUGCUUAGCACAUUGCCUGGCACAUAGUAUAUUGCUGGAACACGUGCUGCACCCAAACAAGACAGCAAACAGAAUUUCAAUCACAUACAGAGUCGAAUGUGAGAUAGCAAUGAAAAAAAAAUAUCCUGUCAUUGUACUUAUGAGAAAACUGUCUUAAGGAUAUUGACACCUAAAGUACUGAAUCAGAAUUACAACUGAAUUUUAGGCCCCAAACACUUAAUAACUAUGUUUAUCUUGCUUUUCAAACAUUAGUUGAGAAUAUAGAAGUUCAGACAAAGAUGAUGAAAGUCUGAACCAAGAAAGUCGGGAUCAAGAGUAGAGAAUUAUUUUUAUGUGAAAUGUUAUGGAAUAAUUGAAAAUGAAAAUUAUGUAUUUAUUUGUCAUCAAAUAUGUCAUUUUGUGUAAAUUUUGCUUUCUGAAAGCAGUUUUUAUUGGUAUAAAGUAUGUGGCGAUUUACUUCUUUGUAUAAAUAAUUUAUUUUAGGCUUAAAUCUGUUACAGGAUCCUUGUUGUGUCGCUUUUCUGGCUAGAAACCUGUGGCUGGUGGCACCUUUGCCCGAGUUUCACUUGGGCCCACUGGGCUCAUUCUGCCCAUUCAGCCCAUGCAGUUGCGUGCAGUUCAUGCUACCAGUUUGUAUCUCAUGGCUCCAAGGGAGACUGGAGUCAGGCACCAAGCAGUGAGGGGUGUGUUUGAGUGAGUGUGGGGUCCAGCCACUGCAUAGUCAGACACUCCAGCUGCUGCCAUGAGGCAGGCAGCUCCAGGUGCCAGCAUGGAUGCCAGCUCUGUGAGGCUGCAGCUGGACCAGGUGCACUGCAAGCAGCUUUCCUGCCUGGCACCAGGGAAUGUGGUAGCACCUGGAAGCUUAAUACGUGAGAAACCACAGGGCCUUAAAGGGGGAGUCACAGCCCAGGCUCAAAGAGCUCCCAGGUCUGGGCUCCCCACAGGGCCAUAGCUCUUCUCUCCUCUUCAGCUACAAUGUGGUGAGCAAGGGGCAUGUUUCAGCUGUGUUUUGUUACAGCUCAUUUAGCCUGACCAUUCAGUGGGUCCCGAGUUCUUGUCUAUGACCAGGAAGAAUGAGGUACAGAGACA
rnacentral:lncRNA from 1 species